GACGAACGCUGGCGGCGUGCUUAACACAUGCAAGUCGAACGGAGAGGCCCUGCUUUUGUGGGGUGCUCGAGUGGCGAACGGGUGAGUAACACGUGAGUAACCUGCCCUUGACUUUGGGAUAACUUCAGGAAACUGGGGCUAAUACCGGAUAGGAGCUCCUGCUGCAUGGUGGGGGUUGGAAAGUUUCGGCGGUUGGGGAUGGACUCGCGGCUUAUCAGCUUGUUGGUGGGGUAGUGGCUUACCAAGGCUUUGACGGGUAGCCGGCCUGAGAGGGUGACCGGCCACAUUGGGACUGAGAUAUGGCCCAGACUCCUACGGGAGGCAGCAGUGGGGAAUAUUGCACAAUGGGCGGAAGCCUGAUGCAGCAACGCCGCGUGCGGGAUGACGGCCUUCGGGUUGUAAACCGCUUUCGCCUGUGACGAAGCGUGAGUGACGGUAAUGGGUAAAGAAGCACCGGCUAACUACGUG
rnacentral:rRNA from 1 species